GCGCUAAUAGCUCAGUUGGGAGAGCGUCAGACUGAAGUCUGAGAUUAGUUAGAGAAUCCGGGGUAAUCUGAAGGUCACCCGUUCAAUCCGGGUUUGGCGCA